AUUGAACGCUGGCGGCAGGCCUAACACAUGCAAGUCGAACGGUAACAGGAAGCAGCUUGCUGCUUCGCUGACGAGUGGCGGACGGGUGAGUAAUGUCUGGGAAACUGCCUGAUGGAGGGGGAUAACUACUGGAAACGGUAGCUAAUACCGCAUAACGUCGCAAGACCAAAGAGGGGGACCUUCGGGCCUCUUGCCAUCGGAUGUGCCCAGAUGGGAUUAGCUAGUAGGUGGGGUAACGGCUCACCUAGGCGACGAUCCCUAGCUGGUCUGAGAGGAUGACCAGCCACACUGGAACUGAGACACGGUCCAGACUCCUACGGGAGGCAGCAGUGGGGAAUAUUGCACAAUGGGCGCAAGCCUGAUGCAGCCAUGCCGCGUGUAUGAAGAAGGCCUUUCGGGUUGUAAAGUACUUUGCAGCGGGGAGGAAGGCGAUAAGGUUAAUAACCUUGUCGAUUGACGUUACCCGCAGAAGAAGCACCGCUAAC
rnacentral:rRNA from 1 species